rnacentral:rRNA from 1 species
UUGAACGCUGGCGGCAUGCCUUACACAUGCAAGUCGAACGGUAACGCGGGGCAACCUGGCGACGAGUGGCGAACGGGUGAGUAAUGCAUCGGAACGUGCCCAGUAGUGGGGGAUAGCCCGGCGAAAGCCGGAUUAAUACCGCAUACGACCUACGGGUGAAAGCGGGGGACUCGCAAGAGCCUCGCGCUAUUGGAGCGGCCGAUGUCAGAUUAGGUAGUUGGUGGGGUAAAGGCCUACCAAGCCGACGAUCUGUAGCUGGUCUGAGAGGACGACCAGCCACACUGGGACUGAGACACGGCCCAGACUCCUACGGGAGGCAGCAGGGGGGAAUUUUGGACAAUGGGCGCAAGCCUGAUCCAGCCAUGCCGCGUGCGGGAAGAAGGCCUUCGGGUUGUAAACCGCUUUUGUCAGGGAAGAAACGCUCUGGGCUAAUACCCUGUGUGGAUGACGGUACCGGAAUAAGAAGCACCGGCUAACUACGU